rnacentral:rRNA from 1 species
UACGUAGGGUGCAAGCGUUAAUCGGAAUUACUGGGCGUAAAGCGUGCGCAGGCGGUGAUGUAAGACAGUUGUGAAAUCCCCGGGCUCAACCUGGGAACUGCAUCUGUGACUGCAUCGCUGGAGUACGGUAGAGGGGGAUGGAAUUCCGCGUGUAGCAGUGAAAUGCGUAGAUAUGCGGAGGAACACCGAUGGCGAAGGCAAUCCCCUGGACCUGUACUGACGCUCAUGCACGAAAGCGUGGGGAGCAAACGGG